AUUGAACGCUGGCGGCAGGCCUAACACAUGCAAGUCGAACGAGUGGCGGACGGGUGAGUAAUGUCUGGGAAUCUGCCUGAUGGAGGGGGAUAACUACUGGAAACUGUAGCUAAUACCGCAUACCAUCAGAUGUGCCCAGAUGGGAUUAGCUUGUUGGUGGGGUAACGGCUCACCAAGGCGACGAUCCCUAGCUGGUCUGAGAGGAUGACCAGCCACACUGGGACUGGGACACGGUCCAGACUCCUACGGGAGGCAGCAGUGGGAAAUAUUGCGCAAUGGGCGCAAACCUAAUGCAGCCAUGCCGCGUGUAUGAAGAAGGCAGUCGGGUUGUAAAGUACUUUAAGCGGGGAGGCGUUAACCGCAGAAGAAGCACCGGCUAACUCCGUGCCAGCCGCCGCGGUAAUAC
rnacentral:rRNA from 1 species